UUAUUCAUAUCAAGAUUCUAUCUUUGUGAUUAUGAAGGGGCAAGAGUAUCAAUUACCUAAAAUAAUAGUAACAUUCAAGUUCAUUGACUUCUCGAAUAACAUGUUUCGAGGAGAGAUUCCGGACGUCAUUGGCAAGCUUACUUAUCUCAAAGGCCUCAACUUUUCACAUAACAGCAUUGGAGGUGGCAUCCCAUCGUCUUUGGAAACUUUGAGAAAUCUUGAAUGGUUAGACCUCUCUUCAAACAGGCUUACAGGGAAGAUUCCAGGACAAUUGACGAGUCUCACAUUUCUUACACAUUUAAACCUCUCACGAAACGAGCUUGUCGGACGCAUACCGCUUGGUAAUCAGUUCAAUACAUUUGCCAAUACUUCAUAUGCAGAGAACUUAGGGUUGUGUGGAUUUCCUUUGUCAAUGGCAUGUGACAACAAUGGUGAAAUACCGCAAUCACCACCACCAUCACAAGAAGACGAUGAUUCUGAAAGUUGGUUUGAUUGGAAGAUCAUAAUGAUGGGUUACAGUUCUGGACUGGUCAUGGGAUUGUCUAUUGGAUAUAUUGUUUUCUCAGGGAGACCACAAUGGCUUGUGAGUAUGCUAGAACGAUAUGGACCCCGAAAAGUGAAAAGAUCAACCCAAAGACGAAGAGGGGGAAGAAACUAAGAAGGUGGAAGUUGUGCUAAUGGAAUUUAUUGCACCAAACUGGAAGCAAAGGAUGCUACAUUGUACUUUCUUCGAAGAGAAGCUGCAGUUAAAAUAAAAUGUAGUAGACCAUUCAGCAUUGGAGUUCUACUCUACAUAUAUGACAUUGCUCCUUGUUGUAUGGCUUCC